AGGUUUCAGUAAACCCCAACAGCAUCACCGUGUGGCUGAGUGGAUGUGCCUUUUGCUCUCUCUGCUGACUGUGGCGUUUUCCAAGCUACAGACUUCAAUCAGCAGAAGAUGUUCUGGAUCCCGUGUACCGUGGGGCUGAGCUUCCCAGUGACCCCAGCACAGCAGCCAACACUGCAUGGCCGGAGUAAUUAAACAGAUCGUGGUUUCUUUCUCGAGUUCUUAUUAUAAUUUCCCUCAUCUGUAUUUAUCACCUUGCACAAAACUCAAGUCUAAGUGGAUCAAAAAUCUCAAUGUAAAAUCAGAUACACUGAAUCUAAUAGAAAAGAAACUAGGGAGUAGCCUUGAAAUCCUUGGCACAGGAGACAAUUUCCUGAACAGAACACUAAUGGCUCGGGCACUAAAAGCAACUAUUAAUCAACGCCGUUCAUGAAACUGAAAAGCUUCUGGAAGUCAAAGGACACCAUCAAUAGGACAAGACAACAGCCUACAAACUGGGGGAAAAGCUUCACCAACUGAACAUCAGACAGAGGGCUAAUAUCCAAAAUAUGUAAAGAAUUCAAGAAGU
ensembl:lincRNA